rnacentral:rRNA from 1 species
AGGAGCGAAGGCUGGAGGCAGCACGCGCGUGUGUGAUGACGGUCCUUCGGCGUCUGUAAAACUCUGUUCGUCAGAGACGAAAGACAUUGUAAGUAACUGUUCAAUGUGUGACGGUAUCUUACCAGAAAGGAACGGCUUACUACUAUGCCAGCAGCCGCGGUAAUUA